GACGAACGCUGGCGGCGUGCUUAACACAUGCAAGUCGAACGGAAAGGCCUCUUUCGGGGGGUACUCGAGUGGCGAACGGGUGAGUAACACGUGAGUAACCUGCCCUUGACUUUGGGAUAACUUCAGGAAACUGGGGCUAAUACCGGAUAGGAGCUCCUGCUGCAUGGUGGGGGUUGGAAAGUUUCGGCGGUUGGGGAUGGACUCGCGGCUUAUCAGCUUGUUGGUGGGGUAGUGGCUUACCAAGGCGUUGACGGGUAGCCGGCCUGAGAGGGUGACCGGCCACAUUGGGACUGAGAUGCGGCCGAGACUCCUACGGGAGGCAGCAGUGGGGAAUAUUGCACAAUGGGUGGAAGCCUGAUGCAGCAACGCCGUGUGCGGGAUGACGGUCUUCGGGUUGUAAACCGCUUUCGCUCAUGACGAAGCUUUGUGUGACGGUAGUGGGUAAAGAAGCACCGGCUAACUACGUG
rnacentral:rRNA from 1 species